CGCGUAGGUGGUUAGGUAAGCGAGAUGUGAAAGCCCCGGGCCUUAACCUGGGAACGGCAUUUCGAACUGUCUGACUAGAGUAUGGUAGAGGGUAGUGGAAUUUCCUGUGUAGCGGUGAAAUGCGUAGAUAUAGGAAGGAACACCAGUGGCGAAGGCGGCUACCUGGACCAAUACUGACACUGAGGUGCGAAAGCGUGGGGAGCAAACA
rnacentral:rRNA from 1 species